rnacentral:lncRNA from 1 species
CUUGUGUUUAAAUUUCAUUGAUUUCUAUUUACUUAUACUAAAGUUAUUGUGCGAAAACCAAGAAUAAUGCUUAUUUGGGCCCUUUUUUGGCCCCUAAUUCCUAAACUGUUGGAACCAAAACUCCCAAAAUCAAUCCCAACCUUCCUUUUGUGGUCAUAAACCUUGUGUCAAAAUUUCAUAGAUUUACAUAUACUUAAACUAAAGUUAUAGUGCGAAAACCAAGAAAAUGCUUAUUUGGGCCCUUUUUGGCCCCUAAUUCCUAAAAUGUUGGGAUCAAAACUCC